rnacentral:rRNA from 1 species
GUGCCAGCAGCCGCGGUAAUUCCAGCUCCAAUAGCGUAUAUUAAAGUUGUUGCGGUUAAAAAGCUCGUAGUUGGAUCUCAACAGCCUUGAAGCGGUUAACUUUGUAGUUUUACUGCUUUAUAGGCUGUGCUUUUGCUGGAGGUUUAGGGGUGCUCUUGAUCGAGUGUCUCUGGAUGCCAGCAGGUUUACUUUGAAAAAAUUAGAGUGCUCAAAGCAGGCUAAAAUGCCUGAAUAUUCGUGCAUGGAAUAAUAGAAUAGGAUGUCGAUCCUAUUUUGUUGGUUUUCGGGACUCGACAUAAUGAUAAAUAGGGACAGUCGGGGGCAUUUGUAUUCAAACGACAGAGGUGAAAUUCUUGGACCGUUUGAAGACAAACUACUGCGAAAGCAUUUGCCAAGAAUGUUUUCAUUAAUCAAGAACGAAAGUUAGAGGUUCGAAGGCGAUUAGAUACCGCCCUAGUUCUAACCAUAAACGAUGCCAGCUAGCGAUCUGCCUGCGUUUUUACUGUAGACUGGGCAGGAAGCUUCCGGGAAACCAAAGCAUUUGGGUUCCAGGGGAAGUAUGGUUGCAAAGCUGAAACUUAAAGGAAUUGACGGAAGGGCACCACCAGGAGUGGAGCCUGUGGCUUAAUUUGACUCAACACGGGAAAUCUCACCAGGCCCGGACACUGGAAGGAUUGACAGAUUGAUAGCUCUUUCUUGAUUCGGUGGGUGGUGGUGCAUGGCCGUUCUUAGUUGGUGGAGUGAUUUGUCUGGUUAAUUCCGAUAACGAACGAGACUCUGUCCUGCUAAAUAGUUUCUACUUCUCUUUUGAGUAGAAUUUCUUCUUAGAGGGACUGGUGACUCUUAGUCACACAAGAUUGAGCAAUACCAGGUCUGUGAUGCCC